rnacentral:rRNA from 1 species
UGGCGGCGUGGAUUAGGCAUGCAAGUCGAGCGAGGAAAGUGGUAGCAAUACUUCUUAUUCGAGCGGCGUAAGGGGCAGUAAUACUUGGGAACGUACCCUCGGGUCGGGGAUAGCUGCUAGAAAUGGCGAGUAAUACCCGAUGAUCUCGAGAGAGCAAAGGCUUGCCGCCCAAGGAGCGGCCCAGGCGAUAUUAGCUAGUUGGUGAGGUAAAGGCUUACCAAGGCAUAGAUGUCUAGCGGGUGUGAGAGCACGACCCGCGCCACUGGCACUGAGACACUGGCCAGACACCUACGGGUGGCUGCAGUCGAGAAUCUUCGGCAAUGAGCGCAAGCUUGACCGAGCGACGCCGCGUGCGGGAUGAAGGNCUUCGGGUUGUAAACCCC